rnacentral:lncRNA from 12 species
GAAAUUUCAACAUAUAAAUUUCAAUCAUAAAGUAAAAACAGUCUUAAUUUUUGAAGAGCUUGCAGAACUGGUUUUGCUCUAUGUUUCCUUAGUAGUUUGUGAUCUCCUGAUGUAUAGGUUCUGCCCUGUGCCAUCAUUUCUAGCAGGCUUUGUUGUUCCUACCAGAGUACUGGGAUACUGGAAGUGUGCAGGGUGGGUAUUUCACUUGCUUGGUUUGAUAUGUUUUCAUGAUAGUGUAUUGGUUUACAUAUACAGGGAACUUCUGUGCUGCUCUACUUUGCUAACCUUUCUGAUUGCUCUGCACUCAGUUCUUCUCAAAUCACUCUUGUGCUGCCUGGCUGCUACCUUGGAUGACUCCGUGAUGGACAGUUGUGUUGGCUUCCACUUCAUUUCCACUACUUCUUCUGUUCUGUGUGACUGCAAAAAUGUUUCCUCUGCUUCCAGGUAUCUUCCAGAAAAGUCCAAGAAAACUGCUGGCACUGACUGAAGAUGAAAAUAUGAUUUGUGCUGACAUCAUGUAUAGUCCAAGCAAAUCUGUUUUGUGAAAGAUGGUUUUUUUAUGGUGUUGAAAUAAAGAAUCAGUGAGUCAUUCUUG